CCUACGGGAGGCAGCAGUGGGGAAUAUUGGACAAUGGGGGGAACCCUGAUCCAGCGACGCCGCGUGAGUGAAGAAGUAUUUCGGUAUGUAAAGCUCUAUCAGCAGGGAAGAAAGAAAUGACGGUACCUGACUAAGAAGCCCCGGCUAACUACGUGCCAGCAGCCGCGGUAAUACGUAGGGGGCAAGCGUUAUCCGGAUUUACUGGGUGUAAAGGGGGCGUAGACGGCGAUGCAAGUCUGAAGUGAAAGGCGGGGGCCCAACCCCCGGACUGCUUGGGAAACUGUAUGGCUGGAGUGCAGGAGAGGUAAGUGGAAUUCCUAGUGUAGCGGUGAAAUGCGUAGAUAUUAGGAGGAACACCAGUGGCGAAGGCGGCUUACUGGACUGUAACUGACGUUGAGGCUCGAAAGCGUGGGGAGCAAACAGGAUUAGAUACCCUGGUAGUC
rnacentral:rRNA from 1 species